rnacentral:sRNA from 1 species
GCCAGGCAUGGUGGCGCGCGCCUGUAGUCCUAGCUACUCGGGAGGCUGAGGCAGGAGGAUCGCUUGAGUCCAGGAGUUCUGGGCUGCAGUGCGCUAUGCCGAUCGGGUGUCCGCACUAAGUUCGGCAUCAAUAUGGUGACCUCCCGGGAGUGGGGGACCACCAGGUUGCCUAAGGAGGGGUGAACCGGCCCAGAUCGGACACUUCUGUGCCUGGGGCUUUGAUUCCAGAACAGGGUGGAGGUAGAACAGGGCAGACUUUCAAAAAGGUAUAAUAAAAAGUUUUU